UUAGAUGGCGACCGGCGCACGGGUGAGUAACACGUAUCCAACCUGCCGAUAACUCGGGGAUAGCCUUUCGAAAGAAAGAUUAAUACCCGAUGGCAUAAUUAGACCGCAUGGUCUUAUUAUUAAAGAAUUUCGGUUAUCGAUGGGGAUGCGUUCCAUUAGGCAGUUGGUGAGGUAACGGCUCACCAAACCUUCGAUGGAUAGGGGUUCUGAGAGGAAGGUCCCCCACAUUGGAACUGAGACACGGUCCAA
rnacentral:rRNA from 1 species